AAGACCUUGCGCUUUUGGAGCGGCCGAUGCCUGAUUAGCUUGUUGGUAAGGUAAAAGCUUACCAAGGCUUCGAUCAGUAGCUGGUCUGAGAGGACGACCAGCCACACUGGGACUGAGACACGGCCCAGACUUCUACGGGAGGCAGCAGUGGGGAAUUUUGGACAAUGGGGGCAACCCUGAUCCAGCCAUGCCGCGUGAGUGAAGAAGGCCUUCGGGUUGUAAAGCUCUUUCAGCCGGAACGAAACGGUUACGGAUAACACCCGUGACUACUGACGGUACCGGAAGAAGAAGCACCGGCUAACUACGUGCCAGCAGCCGCGGUAAUACGUAGGGUGCGAGCGUUAAUCGGAAUUACUGGGCGUAAAGCGUGCGCAGGUGGUUUUGUAAGUCAGAUGUGAAAGCCCCGGGCUCAACCUGGGAACU
rnacentral:rRNA from 1 species